rnacentral:rRNA from 1 species
GCAGAGCAUCCUACGGGAGGCAGCAGUGGGGAAUAUUGCACAAUGGGCGCAAGCCUGAUGCAGCCAUGCCGCGUGUAUGAAGAAGGCCUUCGGGUUGUAAAGUACUUUCAGCAGUGAGGAAGUGGGUAUGUUAAUAGCAUAUUCAUUUGACGUUAGCUGCAGAAGAAGCACCGGCAAACUCCGUGCCAGCAGCCGCGGUAAUACGGAGGGUGCGAGCGUUAAUCGGAAUUACUGGGCGUAAAGCGCAUGCAGGUGGUUUGUUAAGUCAGAUGUGAAAGCCCGGGGCUCAACCUCGGAAUUGCAUUUGAAACUGGCAAACUAGAGUACUGUAGAGGGGGUAGAAUUUCAGGUGUAGCGGUGAAAUGCGUAGAGAUCUGAAGGAAUACCGGUGGCGAAGGCGGCCCCCUGGACAGAUACUGACACUCAGAUGCGAAAGCGUGGGGAGCAAACAGGAUUAGAUACCCUGGUAG